UACGUAGGGUGCAAGCGUUGUCCGGAAUUAUUGGGCGUAAAGAGCUCGUAGGCGGUCUGUCACGUCGGCUGUGAAAUCCCGAGGCUCAACCUCGGGUCUGCAGUCGAUACGGGCAAACUAGAGUAUUGCAGGGGAGACUGGAAUUCCUGGUGUAGCGGUGAAAUGCGCAGAUAUCAGGAGGAACACCGGUGGCGAAGGCGGGUCUCUGGGCCGUAACUGACGCUGAGGAGCGAAAGCGUGGGGGAGCAAAACAGG
rnacentral:rRNA from 1 species